UCAAACUUGGUCAUUUAGAGGAAGUAAAAGUCGUAACAAGGUCUCCGUUGGUGAACCAGCGGAGGGAUCAUUACAGAGUUUUCUAAACUCCCAAACCUUUGUGAACUUACCACUGUUGCCUCGGCGGAAGCUAUUGGGGUUACCCUGUAGCGACCGCCGGUGGACCAACCCAACUCUUGUAAUUUUGAGAAAUCUGAGAGUCUUAUACAAAUAAGUCAAAACUUUCAACAACGGAUCUCUUGGUUCUGGCAUCGAUGAAGAACGCAGC
rnacentral:misc_RNA from 1 species